UGAAAUGGGGGGUAAGGAGCGGUGGAAGACGGUGGGGGGCAGGCGUUGGACGGAAUAUUUGAGCGGAAAGCGGAUGUAGGAGGCCAGGUAGGUGGGUUGUGAAGAGUGGAGGGUCAACCUACAGACGUCGGUCGAAACCAUCUGGAGAGAGGCAGGAAGAGGAGAAAGGAAUUCGUGGUGUAGCGGUGAAAUGCGAAGAGAUCAGGCAGAACACCGAUGGCGAAGGCAGUGCUCUGGGACGGUACUGACGCUGAGACGCGAGAGCGUGGGGAGCGAACAGGAUUAGAUACCCAGGUCGUC
rnacentral:rRNA from 1 species